AUGAACGCUGGCGGCGUGCCUCAUACCUGCAAGUCGAGCGCACAGACGAGGAGCUUGCUCCUCUGACGUUAGCGGCGGACGGGUGAGUAACACGUGGAUAACCUACCUGUAAGACUGGGAUAACUUCGGGAAACCGGAGCUAAUACCGGAUAAUAUAUUUAACCGCAUGGUUCAAUAGUGAAAGACGGUUUUGCUGUCACUUAUAGAUGGAUCCGCGCCGCAUUAGCUAGUUGGUAAGGUAACGGCUUACCAAGGCAACGAUGCGUAGCCGACCUGAGAGGGUGAUCGGCCACACUGGAACUGAGACACGGUCCAGACUCCUACGGGAGGCAGCAGUAGGGAAUCUUCCGCAAUGGGCGAAAGCUUGACGGAGCAACGCCGCGUGAGUGAUGAAGGUCUUCGGAUCGUAAAACUCUGUUAUUAGGGAAGAACAAAUGUGUAAGUAACUAUGCACGUCUUGACGGUACCUAAUCAGAAAGCCACGGCUAACUACGUG
rnacentral:rRNA from 1 species